rnacentral:lncRNA from 1 species
GACCUCCCAUCAAAGUUGCUAGGACUUUUGGACUUAGAAUUAUGAGAGACACAAUGAGACCAGAAGCAGAUUUUGUCAGUUAUGAGCCUGCUAGGAUUUUUAAAGUGACUCUUUCUAGGAAUCAUGGUAAGUCUCCUAUGAUUGCGACUUCUUUUUGCUCUACUAGUUAUGAUCUCUCUACUUCAUCUACUCCUCCAUAAC